CGCGAUUCAGUUUGAAUCAUUCGAGCAUUUGCACUCACGCGUUGGAUUGUUUGGAGCUGUUUGUCAUAGCAAAACACAAUCGGUAUAUUAUUGAGCACAGAUGAGAAAAGAUUAAGUGAUAGAAGAAAUGGAUGUCUACAAACGAUUGGAAUAAACGUCGUAUUUGCCACCGACCGAUGAAGAAACGUGCUGCUUGCGAACGACAGAAAAGAAACCCAGCAGUAUGUGUUUGGAACGUCAUGACAUUUCCUGCAGCCAAUUUUUGAAGAAGAAAGUCUGUUGGCACCAUGCUGAUGUCUGUUUUCUUAACUAUUCCAAGCAAUGAAGAUAUGCCAGAAAAUGACUCCACACUGAGACUUCAUCAUUUGCAAAUUGCAGAGCUUACAGUCAGUCCUGUAUGUUGGAUUUGAAAAACAGAUUGAGUUGACAUGGCCUGUUGAGUUGACAAGUUGCCUGGUAACCAUUUCCACUCAGUUCUUUCUUAGUGUUCAAACUGUUCGAUGUAUCAAUUUCUACUCUGUUAUGAGUCUGUUAUGUGUACUUAUACUCUGAGGAUGUAGGAACAACCUUCAGCACUUCAAACUGAUUGUAGAUUAGAAAUCUCAAUAAAUACUAAUCUUCUUUAUGGAUCUAAAGUAUA
ensembl:lncRNA